GGCCAUCACUAGAUGGCCAAGUGAUGAAUGGAACCAUGAUCACAUGUCGAUGAUGGGUGGUAGCCAUGUGAUGAAUGAAAUCCACGCUCACAUCUUGGUGAUUGGUAGCAUGUAUCAGUGUGGUGGUGAAUGCAAUAAUUUCUCCGUGGAGAGAUGGAAGGUGCAAUAGAGACUAUAUAAGUUUGCCUAGGGAGAGAGCCACUGCAAGUGAGAGAGGAUCAUCAAAAAAGAAAGAAAGGGAGAGUAAAAAAGAUGAGAUAGAGAGGGAGGAGGGAGAGGG
rnacentral:lncRNA from 1 species